rnacentral:pre_miRNA from 1 species
GGUCUUUAGGCUUUGGAGGAUUUGGAAAGGCAUAGUCAUUAUUGUUACCGAGGAUCAUCGAUUUUCUCUGAUCCUUUCCAACGCCUCCCAUGCCUAUAGUCC